GAGGGGCAGACGUCAAGUCAGCAUGGCCCUUAUACCCUGGGCCACACACAUGUUACAAUGGGAUGAGCAACGGGCUUUGCCAAACGGUAACGUUGAGCAAAUCCCUCAAACCAUCCCUCAGUGGGGAUUAAGGUCUGCAACUCGACCUCAUGAACGCGGAAUUGGUAGUAAUCGCGGAUCAGUCAUGCCGCGGUGAAUACGUUCUUGCCUCUUGCACACACCGCCCGUCAAGCCAACAAAGUCGGGGAUAUUUGAAUCUUACCUAUGGUAGGAGAGAAUAUCAUCGGCGAUGGGGGUUAAGUCGUAACAAGGUAACCGUUUUGGAAGAAGCGGUUGGAUCACCUCCUUUCU
rnacentral:rRNA from 1 species